rnacentral:piRNA from 1 species
UCGAACCCAGAGAUUCACCUGCCUCUGCCU